GUGAUUUAGGAGAGGGGAUUUCACACUGUGUAUAAUGCUGCCUGGUUAGGGAUAGGGAUUGGGUUAGGUUUUUAUAGUCCGGCCCUCAACCAGUCUGAAGGACAGUGAAAUGGCCCCCUGUGUAAAAUGUUUGGGGACCUCUGCCUUGGGGCUUCCUCCAGUUCAGCACUAUGACUGACCACCCUCCACCAGAAAGCAUGACAAGGCCAAUCUGGACUCGCUAUAGAUAAGGGUGUUGGGAACCUGAGAAUUUUUAGAUAUAGCUUUCAGAGAAGUGACUGAAUUAGUUUCACCUCUGGGAACUCACCACAAGGCUAUAAUCAUGUACCAUAUAGGAAGAACAAAUAUACUCACAGAUUGCCGAUAGUGAGUAUCUUCUUAUCCGGGGACAGCUGUAUCCUGCUACCAGAUGGGGCAAGUCCAUUUAUGAACCACCGGUAAGCGUGAAUUUGACCUGUACCCUGGCAUGUCAAUGAGAAGUCCUUGGUCUCCACUGCAGUCCUGUUGGAGCCAAGAAAACUGUUGGAAAACCUGUCUAUUGCAAGGGAGACUUCUGCAAAAGGAGAAGAAGGUCUCUGAGGCCUACAUCAGAGCCACAGGACUUGAAAGACUCAAUAAACUGUUGGAAAUAGGGGAUAUAAAGUCGAUGUUUAUCAGGAGCAAGCUGGGAGGGGCCUAUCUAUGAUCAUCAAGUAUGAAGGGAGAAAAAAACUGCUGAGCAAAUUGGAAAACAUUAUGGGAGAGAUUAGAUUUUGAUGAACAUCUCACACCCUACAAUAAGAUAAAUUCAGAAUGGGCCUCCCUAUUUCCUGGAUCGCAACAAUGUUGAAGAAUAUUAUGUAAAAUUAAGCAGCAGCAAGUUUGAGAGAAUUGACUCCAAUUUUGAGAAAAGCUCUACUGUGAGGUAAAUGCUAUCAUCAAAUAGCAUAGAAUGUUACAAAGAAAGCUUAGAAGGAAUGAAGAGUCAAUCUAUGAAGCAAAAUUCACCAUCAUCUUAUUUUGAGAAAUUGCCACAGCAACCAUCACCCUGAGCAAUGAGCACUCAACAACUUAGAGGCAAGAGCCUGCACAAGCCAAAAGAUGACAAAUGACUAAAGGCUCAGAUGAUGGUUAGCAUUUGUAAAUUAAGGAAAAGAGAAAGCAGGAAAAAAGGAGAAAGCUGUGGGAGAGACCUGAGAACUGGAGAGUUACGACCAUCCUCAGAAGGAAAUGCUUCCUCAGUGUUCCAACUCCUGCAUGGUCCAGCAACCUUAGCACUAGAUGACUGGCAUGGAGAGGUGCCUUAUUAGUCUAUUUCAGAUUUCCCCCAAUUCAUGAACUUCAUGUGUUUCUGAUUUCUAUUAACGAGAUUCCUUAGUAGCUGUUUCCAGUCAAGGAACAGGGAAUGAGGAUCCCAGAACACCUAUUGAAAAGCUCAUCAAAGGAAAACACAUACAGUGUGUCUCACAUACAGUGCCAAAAAGAAGGGGGAAAAGUAAGGGUGAGAACAUACUUUCUGAGAAAUAAAUCCUCUACUGCAAGUCUGACUUGGCCAGGUUGGGAUGGAUGGAUCUUGCCACUCUAUGACUCAGAAUAGGGUGGGUCUUUCUCUCUUUCUAGGGCUGGGAGGGAAGAAUCUCAGGUCCCUUUUGUAAGUUAGGUAAAGGGAGAACCUGGCCCAUAGUAGUCAAUGGGUCCCAAGGGGGAAAGGCACAGAAAUGGAGACUGGAGGAGUCUUUCAGAGAAAUGGGGCCACUAGGAGAACCUAGUUUGCUCUCUGACUUUAUUUACAGGGAUUGGAUACUAAGGAUUUGUGCUCUGUAAGGUUAUAGCAUUUGACCAUGAAUAAAUAUCCGACAUGA